rnacentral:rRNA from 1 species
UACGUAGGGGGCAAGCGUUGUCCGGAUUUAUUGGGCGUAAAGAGCUCGUAGGUGGUUUGUCGCGUUGUUCGUGAAAACUCACAACUCAAUUGUGGGCGUGCGGGCGAUACGGGCAGACUGGAGUACUGCAGGGGAGACUGGAAUUCCUGGUGUAGCGGUGGAAUGCGCAGAUAUCAGGAGGAACACCGGUGGCGAAGGCGGGUCUCUGGGCCUUACCUGACGCUCAGGCGCGAAAGCUAGGGGAGCGAACUGG